UUGCUUGGGAGGGUAAAGUGGCGCACGGGUGAGUAACGCGUGGGUAACCCACCUUCGAAUCUGGGAUAACUCCGCGAAAGCGGUGCUAAUACCGGAUAAGACCACAGCCGUUUCGGCGGCAGAGGUAAAAGCUGACCUCUCCAUGGAAGUUAGCGUUCGAGGACGGGCCCGCGUCCUAUCAGCUUGUUGGUGGGGUAAAGGCCUACCAAGGCAGCGACGGGUAGCUGGUCUGAGAGGAUGAUCAGCCACACUGGAACUGGAACACGGUCCAGACUCCUACGGGAGGCAGCAGUGAGGAAUUUUGCGCAAUGGGGGAAACCCUGACGCAGCAACGCCGCGUGGGUGAAGAAGGCUUUCGGGUCGUAAAGCCCUGUCAGGUGGGAAGAACCGUUUCGAUACUAAUAAUGUCGAAGCCUGACGGUACCACCAGAGGAAGCACCGGCCAACUCCGUGCCAGCAGCCGCGGUAAUACGGAGGGUGCAAGCGUUGUUCGGAAUUAUUGGGCGUAAAGAGCGUGUAGGCGGUUUGGUAAGUCAGAUGUGAAAGCCCUGGGCUCAACCCAGGAAGUGCAUUUGAAACUACCAGACUUGAGUACGGGAGAGGAGGGGGGAAUUCCCGGUGUAGAGGUGAAAUUCGUAGAUAUCGGGAGGAAUACCAGUGGCGAAGGCGCCCCUCUGGACCGAUACUGACGCUGAGACGCGAAAGCGUGGGGAGCAAACAGGAUUAGAUACCCU
rnacentral:rRNA from 1 species